rnacentral:rRNA from 1 species
CAAUAGCGUAUAUUAAAGUUGUUGCGGUUAAAAAGCUCGUAGUUGGAGUUCUGCCAGGUGACACUCGUCCGCCCAAGUGGUGUGUACAGGGUGUGCAUCUGGCCCUUUCAAGGGGAACGUGUCUGCACUUCAUUGUGUGGUGCGAGAUCCUUGACUUUUACUUUGAGGAAAUAAGAGUGUUCCAAGCAGGCUCUCGUCGUGCAUAGCUCAGCAUGGAAUAAUAGCAUUGGACUUCGUUUCUACGCUGUUGGUUGCAAGAAGCGAGGUAAUGAUGAAGAGGGAUAGUUGGGGGCAUUCGUAUUUAACUGUCAGAGGUGAAAUUCUUGGAUUUGUUAAAGACUGACUACUGCGAAAGCAUCUGCCAUGGAUGUUUUCAUUGA